GAUGAACGCUAGCUACAGGCUUAACACAUGCAAGUCGAGGGGAAACGGCAUCGAAAGCUUGCUUUUGAUGGGCGUCGACCGGCGCACGGGUGAGUAACGCGUAUCCAACCUGCCCAUCACUUGGGAAUAACCUUGCGAAAGUAAGACUAAUGCCCAAUGACAUCCCACGAAGGCAUCCGAAUGGGAUUAAAGAUUUAUCGGUGAUGGAUGGGGAUGCGUCUGAUUAGCUUGUUGGCGGGGUGACGGCCCACCAAGGCAACGAUCAGUAGGGGUUCUGAGAGGAAGGUCCACCACAUUGGAACUGAGACACGGUCCAAACUCCUACGGGAGGCAGCAGUGAGGAAUAUUGGUCAAUGGGCGAGAGCCUGAACCAGCCAAGUAGCGUGCAGGAGGACGGCCCUAUGGGUUGUAAACUGCUUUUAUAAGGGAAUAAAGUGGGUCACGUGUGACUUUUUGCAUGUACCUUAUGAAUAAGGACCGGCUAAUUCCGUG
rnacentral:rRNA from 1 species